UCAGCGCCGGACGGGUGAGUAACACGUGGCCAACCUGCCUGUAAGACUGGGAUAACUCCGGGAAACCGGGGCUAAUACCGGAUAAUUCUUUCCCUCACAUGAGGGAAAGCUGAAAGAUGGUUUCGGCUAUCACUUACAGAUGGGCCCGCGGCGCAUUAGCUAGUUGGUGAGGUAACGGCUCACCAAGGCAACGAUGCGUAGCCGACCUGAGAGGGUGAUCGGCCACACUGGGACUGAGACACGGCCCAGACUCCUACGGGAGGCAGCAGUAGGGAAUCUUCCGCAAUGGACGAAAGUCUGACGGAGCAACGCCGCGUGAGUGAUGAAGGUUUUCGGAUCGUAAAACUCUGUUGUUAGGGAAGAACAAGUACCGGAGUAACUGCCGGUACCUUGACGGUACCUAACCAGAAAGCCACGGCUAACUACGUGCCAGCAGCCGCGGUAAUACGUAGGUGGCAAGCGUUGUCCGGAAUUAUUGGGCGUAAAGCGCGCGCAGGCGGUUCCUUAAGUCUGAUGUGAAAGCCCCCGGCUCAACCGGGGAGGGUCAUUGGAAACUGGGGAACUUGAGUGCAGAAGAGAAGAGUGGAUUCCACGUGUAGCGG
rnacentral:rRNA from 2 species